ACGGGAGGCAGCAGUGGGGGAUAUUGCACAAUGGGCGAAAGCCUGAUGCAGCAACGCCGCGUGAGGGAAGACGGUUUUCGGAUUGUAAACCUCUGUCUUUGGUGAAGAAAGAAAUGACGGUAGCCGAGGAGGAAGCCACGGCUAACUACGUGCCAGCAGCCGCGGUAAUACGUAGGUGGCGAGCGUUGUCCGGAAUUACUGGGUGUAAAGGGAGCGCAGGCGGGAAUGCAAGUUGGAUGUGAAAUACCGGGGCUCAACCCCGGAGCUGCAUCCAAAACUGUAUUUCUUGAGUGAAGUAGAGGUAGGCGGAAUUCCGAGUGUAGCGGUGAAAUGCGUAGAUAUUCGGAGGAACACCAGUGGCGAAGGCGGCCUACUGGGCUUUUACUGACGCUGAGGCUCGAAAGUGUGGGGAGCAAACAGGAUUAGAUACCCUGGUA
rnacentral:rRNA from 1 species